rnacentral:tRNA from 1 species
UUUAAUGUGGUGUGAUAGUGCAUUUUACAUUUUGGUUGUGAAGGUGAUUAGUAAUCCGUUAAAU